rnacentral:rRNA from 1 species
AUGUCUAAACCGGAGGAGAUCAAGAUCCAAGCAAAAAAUAUCGAUGCUGCAGCAGGAGAGAUAAUUGGCGUUUUGGAGGAUACAAGGAAAAGAAAUGUGAUCUUUGUCGGUGGUUGGCAUGGGUUUGGAGCAUCAGCGGCACUCAAGGCAGUAGCGCAACGUCUAAAAUCAUCAAAAUCAAAGUUUGACAGGGUUAUUCAUGUGGAUUGCUCGUUGUGGAAAAGCAUGAGGGCCCUGCAAAAGUCAAUCGCGGAGGAGCUGGAGCUUCCGCCAUCAGUGAUGGCCAUCUUUGAUUGGUGCGACGAGGAGGAUGAUUUUAGUGGGAUAGAUGAAGGCUCUCGAGGGGUGAUAGCAGAUAUCAGCACAGAAAUCUACAGAAAGCUUGCUAACAACAGAUUUGUAGUGAUAUUUCACAAUGGGAGUGACAAGUACAUUGAUCUGUACGAGUGUGGUGUCCCAGAAUGGGAAAAGAUGGAGCUGCAUACUGAUAUUGUUGUCAACUAUUCUCAUGAUGAUUGCAUCCGUGAUGAAGCAUUACUGGAAGAGGCCAAGGAGGUUGUCACUUAUUUGGGUAUUCCAGAGCCUUACAUGAACCAUAUGAUAGUUGAGAAGUGCUUCCAGUACGCCUUUCAACUGGGAUCUGCCAGGCUCACCGACCAGGGGAACAGGGGGGACUGGGAGAGGAACUGGGGGAACCAUGCUUCAAACUACUUGGUAUGCGAUGGGAUUAUACAAGGGCAAGGUGAUACAUCAGCAUGGGGAGUUGCCGAUGCUCUACAAAGAAACGUGCAUUUGGAUUGGCUUUUGGACUCGAGAGAGUGGGCUUCUCAUGUCAUUCGUCGUCACCUGCAGCUGCAGUGCAGACUUCUUGACCGCUGGGUUUUGGUGGUACACAAGGGAGAUAAGGCCUCCUACCUGAUGAGAUUGGCAUGCCAGCUAAGAUUCCUCCUGCUAGAUACAUGCAGUAAUAUCGCAUCUGAUAAGCAUCCAAUACACAAUGAAGAUAUGUCAUGCUUCCAGAAGCUAUGGGUGCUGCACCUGAUGUAUACACGAUGGUAUCGAUUACUAUCAGAAGAGAUGAUGAACUUCAUGGCUGACCUCAGGGAGUUGUAUGUGAAGGGAGUCAAGGGUUGGAGCAUAGGUGAUUUACGUGGUAGGGGACCUUCCCUUGUCAAGGUCCACGUAGAAUCACAGUACUACUUUAUUAAUCAUGCACCAUUCCCUGACCUGUCCAGCGCAAGCUUCCUCAAGACGAUCAUCCUUUACAAUUGUGUUGAUCUGGAACAAGUUGUCCCCGGCGUGCUGCCCCCAUCGCUUGAGUCAUUCACCUUCAAAACUGGAAUUUAUGGCACCGACAUAUCUAGCAUUUCCUUCCGGGGUUGUUCUCAGUUGAAGAGUAUACUACUAAUAGGAGUUCUAGGGAGCCUUGAGGAGCUGGACCUCUCGGGCACAAUAGUGAAAACCCUUGACCUCAGGGAAGUGAGAGCCCAAAACCUCAAACAUCUCAUCUUGCUGGGCUGCGAGAAGCUCUGUGCAAUAUUAUGGCCAUCAGAAUACGGCAUGACAAAGGUUUUGGAGGUACUGCACAUCGACACCAUACGAUAUACAUCACCUGGCCAAGCUAAUUGGGAAGAAAAACCCAGGGAUCCUAUUGCAGCUAUGGGGUCAUCAUCUAUUCUUGUUGCUACUGCUACAGAGCUGGGCAUCAGUCCACAUGCACCAUUUGAAGUUAAAUGGUACAUCUCUACAACGGAUACAAGGAUCCUUAGGUCGCUUGAACCAGUUAAAAGAUAUAUUGAGCACAGUCAUUUGCUCAAGGAAUCCGGAGUCUGUGUCAGCCUGAUAAUUAUUUAUAUGCAAGGGAUGCCUUCUUUCAAAGGGACCUACAGGCUGACGCUGAUAAUGAAGGAUGCAACCAGCUGGAUAUGGGAUUGCCCAGGUAGUCCUACUCCAAGGGCCCAAGACUUGUAUCUUCACAUACAUGAUGAGCAGGAGGUGAAGAGGGGACUACUACAGCAAAAACAGAGCAACACUGAAGGAAUUAAUGUUAGCGCUGUUUUCCCUGGUUUCAUAGUUAACAAUGCUCGGAUGCUUCACGUGCAUGAUAGCUCAUCCGUCACUUGCAUCACAUGCCCACAACCACAAGGUUCAUGCUGGAGGUGGCUUGAAUGGUGCCGAGUCGAGAGGUGCCCCAAGCUAAGUACUGUCUUUUAUACUCCCCAACCAAGUGAGGGUGAUAGCUUCUGUUAUGAGUUGGCCACAUUCUGGGCAUCUGAACUCCCAAAGGCAUGCUACAUCUGUGAUUGGAGUGCAAUACAUAUGUUUUCCUUUGCACACAUAAUUGUGUGUUGCGGUGAUCUAAGGGAGGUCUUCGCUUUGGACACUAAGCAAAAGCAGCAGAGAAUUAUAGGAUGCCCCAAGCUAAGGCGCAUUCACCUGUAUGAGCUCCCCAGCCUGCAGCACAUCAGUGGGAGCAGGAUGUCCUCGCCCAACUUGGAGACCGUCAAGAUCAGGGGCUGCUGGAGCCUCAGGAGCCUACCAGCCGUCAGCAGAAACAACGAGAAGCUGCCUAGUGUGGACUGCGAGAAGGAUUGGUGGGAUAACCUGGAGUGGGAUGGGGUGGAAGCGAACCACCAUCCUUCACUCUAUGAGCAUAACCACUCGUCGUACUACAAGGCCCAGCAGCAAAGAGGCACAGUACUAAGUGAACCAAUCAUCUCAUUGCCAAUUUGUCUUCGCUGCACUGCAGGUAAUCAGUUCCUUCCAUGGGACAUGAGCGUCGAUCCUGUCAUCCUGUGGUGCUCCCUACGCAGCGGAUGUCUUUGCUGCAGUGUAUCGUUUCAUGUUGCUUUCCCUACUUCAUGUUGUUUUGAUUGGUUUGGUUGCGCUUUUGCAUCUGCAAUGCCAAGGUGCGGAUCCUUUGCAGCUGCAUGGAUCAGCGUUGCCAUGCUCCGCUCGAUUGAGCCACAUAUGCGUCAAAGACUCAAAAUGCAUGCUGCUCCUGUGUGUUUUGUGUUGUGGUGCGUGAUUUAUCCCCUUUUCUCCCGUCGCCACUCUUUCCUCAGCCUAGCGGCCGCUGCUGCUCUGGAUUUGAUGCCGUCACCGUCGGUGCGGCUGGCCGAUCCACGGUCAAAAGUUGCUCCAGGAGGGGGAGGCGAGCCGGCGGCGGCGGAUAGGCGGAGGUGGCUUGAAAUCGAGGAGGCGAUGCAUCAGGCGAGAGAGCAGGGAAGUCUCUCUCUGCGCGCCGUCUUUUGGGGGCGCUUGCAGCUGGCUCCACGGCAGCGGACCAGUGCUCGACCCGCCAAUGAGGACUACCUUGGCAACUGCACCUGUGCCUGUUCCAUUCAUUUUGUGCUUCAUCUUGUUUCGUUGUGCUGCACACAUUGUCUGUCUGAUCCUUCACUCUGUGGUCUUUUUCUCUCGCCAUUCAGAAACCGUCGGUGCUCCAUUCGGGCUAUGUCUGUGGAUACUGCCAUCACCUUAUCGACCAGCAUUGCCAUCGUCUAUGACGUCUGCAGUGAUCACCAAGCAUCACUGCAUGUGGACCCAAAACGUCGCCACAAGCAGCUGCAACAUGCAAAGCCAACGGCCGAGCGAAUGCAUGCAGGGAUGCUAUACUGGACGCGAUGGCGCGAGUCGUAG